AAAUAAAUUUUUUAUGAUUUAUAAAAUUCAUUAUAAAUUUAUUUUACAUACAAAUUUUAGUAUGAAUUUUUAAUUAUUUUAAAAAUAAUUAAUAAUUAAAGUAGUAAUUAUAUUUAAAAAUUUAAGAAAUUAAGAUUUAGUAAUAUUUAAAUUAAUAACAAAUUUUGUGCCAGCAGUUGCGGUUAUACAAAAAUUGAAUUGAAUUUUUUUAGUUUAUAAUAAUUGAUUUAUAAUUUAAAAUAAAUAUAAAAUUAUUAAGUAAAAUUUUAAUUUUAUAAAAUUUCAUAUAAAGAUUAUGAUUUAAUAAAUUUACACUUAAACUAGGAUUAGAUACCCUAUUAUAAAAUUUUUAUGAAAAAUACUAAAAUAGUAAAUAAUAAUUUAUUGAAACUUAAAUAAUUUGGCGGUAUUUUAGUUCAUUUAGAGGAAUCUGUUUAAUAAUUGAUAAUCCACGAAUAAAUUUACUUAAUUUAAAAUUUUGUAUAUCGUUGUUAAAAAAAUAUUUUUUAAUAAUAAUAAUAUUUAAAAAUUUUUAUAAAAAUUAAUUCAGAUCAAGAUGCAGAUUAUAAUUAAGAAUAUAAUGGAUUACAAUAAAUUUAUUUAAAUGAAAAUAUAUUUUGAAAAAAAUAAUUGAAAGUGGAUUUAAAUGUAAUUUUAUUUAAUUUAAUAAAAUGAUUGAAAAUUAAAAUAUGUACAUAUUGCCCGUCACUUUCAUUUAAAAAUUGAAAUAAGUCGUAACAAAGUAGAAGUACUGGAAAGUGUUUCUAGAAUGAU
rnacentral:rRNA from 1 species